rnacentral:rRNA from 1 species
GAUGAACGCUAGCUACAGGCUUAACACAUGCAAGUCGAGGGGAAACGAUAUUGGAAGCUUGCUUCCGAUAGGCGUCGACUGGCGCACGGGUGAGUAACGCGUAUCCAACCUGCCCAUCACUUGGGGAUAACCUUGCGAUAGUAAGACUAAUACCCAAUGACGUCUCUAGAAGACAUCUGAAAGAGAUUAAAGAUUUAUCGGUGAUGGAUGGGGAUGCGUCUGAUUAGCUUGUUGGCGGGGUACCGGCCAACCAAGGUGACGACCAGUAGGGGGUCUGAGAGGAAGUUCCCCCACAUUGGAACUGAGACACGGUCCAAACUCCUACGGGAGGCAGCAGUGAGGAAUAUUGGUCAAUGGGCGAGAGCCUGAACCAGCCAAGUAGCGUGCAGGAUGACGGCCCUAUGGGUUGUAAACUGCUUUUAUAAGGGAAUAAAGUGAGAGUCGUGACUCUUUUUGCAUGUACCUUAUGAAUAAGGACCGGCUAAUUCCGUGCCAGCAGCCGCCGUAA